AUGCAAGUAAUGGAUUGAAGAUUGUAAGUAAGGAAGAUUGAAUAAGAUCUACUUUAAAUAAUGUAAUCGAAUGUGGUCUAGUUUCAGAUUUUUGUAGGUCGAGGGAAGCAUUUGAAUUUUCUUAUGAAGGAGUAAAUUUUUUGCAUCCUUUUUUUAUGGAGCUUCUUUUAAUUAUCUUUCUAUAUUUUGGGAUUUGUUCUUUUUUGGUUAUCAUGUCGUCUAAAGUAUUGGACUUGAAGAGUUUGUCUUCAUCUUCCUUCUUCUCCGACAAUUUGCGUCAUUCAUAUGAGCUCACAAAGAGGCAAAAUUUUGCAACCAAAAUAAGCUUACAAUGAUAUGGAAUCUAAUUACAAUGGAUGGUAAUUCUCAUAGUUAGGAGCAUCACAUGACAUAUAUUGCAUAAAAAGUGCAAUGUUUGAAGACACUUGUCUGUGCUUAUCCCACUGCAAAACGUAAACAGAAUUCAUCAUUUUUUUUUUUUUGGAUGAGGUACAAUCCAUGAAUUUCAUGACAUGUCAAAUAACUUGUAUAUUUGUUUUUCUAAAAAAAAAAAAAAAAUGUUUUUUUUUCAUGUUACUUUGAAUGCCAUAACAACCCUUUGUUUCUUUGAUAACCACGGGUGUUCAGCCCAACUUUUGCACUACGGCUAAUCUUACACAAUAACAAUUUUGACCCCUGUUAUGUUUGACAUGAGGAAUCCUGUAGGAUUUAAUGACCUCUUAGAUAGAGGGUCAUUG